rnacentral:lncRNA from 1 species
GAGACUGGACCAAAUGUGUUGGGAACAAGGAAAAAAGGACAUGCCAAGCCAACUGCAGCUCACUCCCACGGAAAUGGAGUUUCCACACCGACGACCGCAUAGGGCUACACCUAGUUAACUGCCAGGAUCCGGAGGGGGGUCUUUUAUUAUUAUAUUAUAAUUAUUACUAUUUUUUGCAAGCCGAGACGCUGGACUAGCCAUGUCCUUUUCUCAGGAUUGGAUUUCUUUUUUUGUUGUUGUCAUUUUUUUUGCAAUCGCAGUCGUUUCUUUGUUGGUUUUUUUUUGUUUUGUUUUGUUUUCGUUUUCGUUUUUUGUUUGUUUUGUUUGGGCCUUUUUUUUCCUUCCCUGUCCCAGUACCUCUUCCUCCGAUUCCUCACUUUUUAUUUUUAAUUUGUUUUGUUUUUCCUUCUUUCGGUGGGAUGUUGACAUGAGGAUGAAAAUUCUCCUUCGCCUUAGUGGUGAUUGUUUAAACUUACAGUCUUAAACCGUGCCAAAGUCCUGUUAUGUCUUGAACUUUCCUCUCUAGCUCUCCUGCUGCUUCUUUCUCUGCUCUCCUCCUCUUUCUCCUUCUCUCUCUCUCCAAGCAUUACACUUGUGAAUGUAUUCUCGUCUGAUGGGGUCGGUCAGUAUUUUUCAGGAUGAGGAUGUGGUGUUUAUUCUACCCAGAUUGUGAUGUUUAGUAUAACAGUUGCCUUUUUGUAAUAACUUUUUUUUUGUAAAUACAUAUCCAUGAUGCCAUAUUUAUCGUUCGUAAUUUAAUUAUUGAUACAAAGUGCCGGGAACUGAACAAUAUUUAUGGGGAAGAAAAAAUUGUUUUCUAACAAAAAAAAUACAAACAAAAAAAAAAUCAACUCUGUACAGCUUUUGGUUAUAACUGCUUUAGCAUUAAAAGUUUAUUGUUUUGGAAAGAGCCCCCGCGAGCCGUUUUUAACCUCCUCCGUCCUCCCCGUUUCGGGGGUCGGGGGCAGCCGCGGGUGCCGCCGCGGUCCCGGCUCGCUGCCGCCGGGGCCGAGCCGUUGUUUUCGGGCCGGCGCUGCGGGAAAAAGCCUCCAGCUCCUCGCCGCUGCUUCUGCUGCUGCCCCUUUGUCCCCGCCCUCCGCUGCCGAACGGCUUCGCAUCCCCGCGACCUUCCCGAGCGGACGGAGCCCGGAGCCCGGGGCGCGGCGUCGCCGAGGGAGAGGAGCACCGGGGGCAGCGGGGCGCCUCGACGGGGUGGCCCCGACGGAUGCAGCAAAGCGUCCCCAUCCCUGA